rnacentral:rRNA from 1 species
GAUGAACGCUGGCGGCGUGCCUAAUACAUGCAAGUCGAGCGAACAGACGAGGAGCUUGCUCCUCUGACGUUAGCGGCGGACGGGUGAGUAACACGUGGAUAACCUACCUAUAAGACUGGGAUAACUUCGGGAAACCGGAGCUAAUACCGGAUAAUAUAUUGAACCGCAUGGUUCAAUAGUGAAAGACGGUUUUGCUGUCACUUAUAGAUGGAUCCGCGCCGCAUUAGCUAGUUGGUAAGGUAACGGCUUACCAAGGCGACGAUGCGUAGCCGACCUGAGAGGGUGAUCGGCAACACUGGAACUGAGACACGGUCCAGACUCCUACGGGAGGCAGCAGUAGGGAAUCUUCCGCAAUGGGCGAAGGCCUGACGGAGCAACGCCGCGUGAGUGAUGAAGGUCUUCGGAUCGUAAAACUCUGUUAUUAGGGAAGAACAAAUGUGUAAGUAACUAUGCACGUCUUGACGGUACCUAAUCAGAAAGCCACGGCUAACUACGUG